AAAUUUGGAUUAAUGCCCCAUGGUAUGUAUUAGCGGCAUCGCUUAUACAUUAAAGGCUACGGUACAGGAUGACUAUGCGUCCCAUUAGUUAGUUGGUAAGGUAACGGCUUACCAAGGCUGCGAUGGGUAGGGGCCCUGAGAGGGGGAUCCCCCACACUGGUACUGAGACACGGACCAGACUCCUACGGGAGGCAGCAGUGAGGAAUAUUGGACAAUGGGCGGGAGCCUGAUCCAGCCAUGCCGCGUGCAGGAAGACGGUCCUAUGGAUUGUAAACUGCUUUUGUACGGGAAGAACAAGGGGCACGUGUGCCCCUCUGACGGUACCGUAAGAAUAAGGAUCGGCUAACUCCGUGCCAGCAGCCGCGGUAAUACGGAGGAUCCGAGCGUUAUCCGGAAUCAUUGGGUUUAAAGGGUCCGUAGGCGGGCCAUUAAGUCAGGGGUGAAAGUCUGCGGCUCAACCGUAGAAUUGCCCUUGAUACUGGUGGUCUUGAGUUAUGGUGAAGUAACUAGAAUAUGUAGUGUAGCGGUGAAAUGCAUAGAUAUUACAUAGAAUACCGAUUGCGAAGGCAGGUUACUAACCAUAUACUGACGCUGAUGGACGAAAGCGUGGGGAGCGAACAGGAUUAGAUACCCUGGUAGUCCACGCCGUAAACGAUGGAUACUAGCUGUCCGGAUGCAAAUCUGGGCGGCCAAGCGAAAGUGAUAAGUAUCCCACCUGGGGAGUACGUC
rnacentral:rRNA from 1 species